AUAGGGAAAAUCUUUAAAAAUCUUCUUCUCAAGAACCAUUGGGCCAAGGAAGUUGACAUUUACAUGAAAGCUUUCUGACAUAGUGUAGAUUCAAGUUUGCAAAAAUCGUGGCCUCCAGGGGUAGUUGGGGGCCAUAAUAGGGACUAAGGUUUUACAUGCAAAUCUAUAUGGAAAGUCUUCAGAUAUGGGCCAAGGUGACUCAGGUGAGCGAUGUGGCCCAUGGACCUCUUGUUUCUGCAGUGUUCGAAAUUAACCAUAGACCGAUAGACCGAGUCUAUGUCAAAUGACACUGGUCUAUGCCAAUUGUAAUUGAGAUAGACCAAAUUGUCCAUGCAGAUUUCUCGGUCUAAAACAAUAGAGUUAUCCCAAAAGUUGACUUCUGAUAAACGUUAUGAGGAAAGAAGGACAUCGUUAUGGAAAUGGAAAGAAAAUAUGCUUUCUAAGUACAUUAGAAGUAAAUGACAAUGUUUUAAAUUUGUGGGGUUUUUUUUUUUCAAUGUUGCGGUCUAUGCCAAUUUCAUUAGGUCUAUGUCAUCUUGUUUUGGCAUAGACCAAUGGUCUAUACCAAGUUUUAAACCAAUUUCAAACACUGUUUCUGGUUGUAACACCUAUUUGUUUGGGUAAAAAAAAUAUAGUUUAUACUUGCACGAACAUUUCACACUUAAAUAUAUAUUGCUUUCUGGGUUUUAAAGCAUAAGCUGCCCCAAUACAGUUUAUACUCAUAUAAAUCAGGUAGCUUUUGUAUUUAUUCCUUGAAUGUUUUUUGUCAAUAGAAAACCAAGAUGAUCUUCCUGACAGUUUUAGGAAAGUGACCUCAUGAUAGAAGUUUCAGAAUGUCCUACCAUUGAUCCUGGAAGUGAAAAAGUAUCUGAUAGUGAAGAAAGCUACGGUAGCAUAGAGAGUGAAAACUAUCCCAUGCUCUCUGGAAAGAAAGAAAAAGACAUUUCUUUUUAAGCCAUAAGGUGUUCCCAAAAAUUCAAUUGGAAGCUUCAACAAACUGCAUGCCUGCUUUUUUGUGAUAAGAUGAUUGCUAACAUUGCAAGACAUCUUGAACUAGCACACAAAGCAGAAGUUGAAGUAGCCAGGGUUUUAGCUUUCCCCCCAAAAAGCAAAGAAAGGGGAUAAAUGAGGGAGGAACUUCAAAGUAUUAAUGUGUGCAUUAUGUAUAAAUUUAUUUGAUGUAAUCACUAGUAAAACCGAUUUUGCUUAAUAUACAUUUUUUUCUAUGCACUGCAUAAUUAUGUAGAUGCAAUAACUGGGACUUAACAUUUGAAAAGAAGUUUGUUUGUGAUUCUUUGCAAUUGUACUAUGAACCUGUAAGUUACAUCAUUAAAUAUAAUGCUAGAUUCAA